AUUGAACGCUGGCGGCAGGCCUAACACAUGCAAGUCGAGCGGUAGGGAGAAGCGUGCUUCUCUUGAGAGCGGCGGACGGGUGAGUAAAGCCUAGGAAUCUGCCUGGUAGGGGGGGAUAACGUUCGGAAACGGGCGCUAAUACCGCAUACGUCCUACGGGAGAAAGCAGGGGACCUUCGGGCCUUGCGCUAUCAGAUGAGCCUAGGUCGGAGUAGCUAGUUGGUGAGGUAAUGGCUCACCAAGGCGACGAUCCGUAACUGGUCUGAGAGGAUGAGCAGUCACACUGGAACUAGGACACGGUCCAGACUCCUACGGGAGGCAGCAGUGGGGAAGAUUGGACAAUGGGCGAAAGCCUGAUCCAGCCAUGCCGCGUGUGUGAAGAAGGUCUUCGGAUUGUAAAGCACUUUAAGUUGGGAGGAAGGGCAUUAACCUAAUACGUUAGUGUUUUGACGUUACCGACAGAAUAAGCACCGGCUAACUCUGUGCCAGCCGCCGCCGUAA
rnacentral:rRNA from 1 species